GAUGAGGUGACCGAGUGGUGAACGCGAUGCACUGCUAAUCCAUUGUGCUCUGCACACAUGGCUUCAAAUCCCAUCCUCGUCG
rfam:Cuculus canorus contig48718, whole genome shotgun sequence.